rnacentral:rRNA from 1 species
CAGCCGCCACGGGAAUACGUAGGGUGCGAGCGUUAAUCGGAAUUACUGGGCGUAAAGCGUGCGCAGGCGGUUUUGUAAGACAGGCGUGAAAUCCCCGGGCUCAACCUGGGAAUGGCGCUUGUGACUGCAAAGCUAGAGUGCGGCAGAGGGGGAUGGAAUUCCGCGUGUAGCAGUGAAAUGCGUAGAUAUGCGGAGGAACACCGAUGGCGAAGGCAAUCCCCUGGGCCUGCACUGACGCUCAUGCACGAAAGCGUGGGGAGCAAACAGGAUUAGAUACCCCGGUAGUCCCUGUCUCUUAUAC